GACGUAGGGCGCGAGCGUUGUCCGGAUUUAUUGGGCGUAAAGAGCUUGUAGGCGGUUUGUCGCGUCUGCUGUGAAAUUUCGGGGCUCAACCCCGAACUUGCAGUGGGUACGGGCAGACUAGAGUGUGGUAGGGGAGACUGGAAUUCCUGGUGUAGCGGUGAAAUGCGCAGAUAUCGGGAGGAACACCAGUGGCGAAGGGCGACUACCUGGCCUGUUCUUGACGCUGAGGCGCGAAAGCUAGGGGAGCAAACGGGG
rnacentral:rRNA from 1 species